GUUUAAAAAAAAAAUCCGUUUUCUAAAGAAAUUCAUAGAACGGCUCGUUUGGAAUACAGCGUUUGUUUUCCGGGCUUUGUGAUAUCACAAAGCGGCUCAUUAGAAUAUCAU